rnacentral:rRNA from 1 species
UGAGGAACAUGACCUUCGGCGGGGGAUAGCCGGCCCAACGGCCGGGUAAUACCGCGUACGACCACAUGGGGACAUCCCUAGGUGGUGAAAGCAGCAAUGCGCCGAUGGAGUGCCUCGCGGCCUAUCAGCUAGUUGGUGAGGUAACGGCUCACCAAGGCGACGACGGAUAGCUGGUCUGAGAGGAUGGCCAGCCACAUUGGGACUGAGACACGGCCCAGACCUCGUACCGGGGAGG